rnacentral:rRNA from 1 species
UAAGUUAGAAAGGGCGCACGGUGGAUGCCUUGACACUAGGAGUCGAUGAAGGACGGGACUAACGCCGAUAUGCUUCGGGGAGCUGUAAGUAAGCUUUGAUCCGAAGAUUUCCGAAUGGGGAAACCCACCAUACGUAAUGGUAUGGUAUCCUUAUCUGAAUACAUAGGGUAAGGAAGACAGACCCAGGGAACUGAAACAUCUAAGUACCUGGAGGAAGAGAAAGCAAAUGCGAUUUCCUGAGUAGCGGCGAGCGAAACGGAACAUAGCCCAAACCAAGAGGCUUGCCUCUUGGGGUUGUAGGACAUUCUAUACGGAGUUACAAAGGAACGAGGUAGACGAAGCGACCUGGAAAGGUCCGUCGUAGAGGGUAACAACCCCGUAGUCGAAACUUCGUUCUCUCUUGAAUGUAUCCUGAGUACGGCGGAACACGUGAAAUUCCGUCGGAAUCUGGGAGGACCAUCUCCCAAGGCUAAAUACUCCCUAGUGAUCGAUAGUGAACCAGUACCGUGAGGGAAAGGUGAAAAGCACCCCGGAAGGGGAGUGAAAGAGAUCCUGAAACCGUGUGCCUACAAAUAGUCAGAGCCCGUUAACGGGUGAUGGCGUGCCUUUUGUAGAAUGAACCGGCGAGUUACGAUCCCGUGCGAGGUUAAGCUGAAGAGGCGGAGCCGCAGCGAAAGCGAGUCUGAAUAGGGCGUUUAGUACGUGGUCGUAGACCCGAAACCAGGUGAUCUACCCAUGUCCAGGGUGAAGUUCAGGUAACACUGAAUGGAGGCCCGAACCCACGCACGUUGAAAAGUGCGGGGAUGAGGUGUGGGUAGCGGAGAAAUUCCAAUCGAACCUGGAGAUAGCUGGUUCUCCCCGAAAUAGCUUUAGGGCUAGCCUUAAGUGUAAGAGUCUUGGAGGUAGAGCACUGAUUGGACUAGGGGUCCUCAUCGGAUUACCGAAUUCAGUCAAACUCCGAAUGCCAAUGACUUAUCCUUAGGAGUCAGACUGCGAGUGAUAAGAUCCGUAGUCAAAAGGGAAACAGCCCAGACCGCCAGCUAAGGUCCCAAAGUGUGUAUUAAGUGGAAAAGGAUGUGGAGUUGCUUAGACAACUAGGAUGUUGGCUUAGAAGCAGCCACCAUUUAAAGAGUGCGUAAUAGCUCACUAGUCGAGUGACUCUGCGCCGAAAAUGUACCGGGGCUAAAUACACCACCGAAGCUGCGGAUUGAUACCAAUGGUAUCAGUGGUAGGGGAGCGUUCUAAGGACAGUGAAGUCAGACCGGAAGGACUGGUGGAGUGCUUAGAAGUGAGAAUGCCGGUAUGAGUAGCGAAAGACGGGUGAGAAUCCCGUCCACCGAAUGCCUAAGGUUUCCUGAGGAAGGCUCGUCCGCUCAGGGUUAGUCAGGACCUAAGCCGAGGCCGACAGGCGUAGGCGAUGGACAACAGGUUGAUAUUCCUGUACCACCUCUUUAUCGUUUGAGCAAUGGAGGGACGCAGAAGGAUAGAAGAAGCGUGCGAUUGGUUGUGCACGUCCAAGCAGUUAGGCUGAUAAGUAGGCUAAUCCGCUUAUCGUAAAGGCUGAGCUGUGAUGGGGAAGCUCCUUAUGGAGCGAAGUCUUUGAUUCCCCGCUGCCAAGAAAAGCUUCUAGCGAGAUAAAAGGUGCCUGUACCGCAAACCGACACAGGUAGGCGAGGAGAGAAUCCUAAGGUGUGCGAGAGAACUCUGGUUAAGGAACUCGGCAAAAUGACCCCGUAACUUCGGGAGAAGGGGUGCUUUCUUAACGGAAAGCCGCAGUGAAUAGGCCCAAGCGACUGUUUAGCAAAAACACAGCUCUCUGCGAAGCCGUAAGGCGAAGUAUAGGGGGUGACACCUGCCCGGUGCUGGAAGGUUAAGGAGAGGGGUUAGCGUAAGCGAAGCUCUGAACUGAAGCCCCAGUAAACGGCGGCCGUAACUAUAACGGUCCUAAGGUAGCGAAAUUCCUUGUCGGGUAAGUUCCGACCCGCACGAAAGGUGUAACGAUUUGGGCACUGUCUCAACCAGAGACUCGGUGAAAUUAUAGUACCUGUGAAGAUGCAGGUUACCCGCGACAGGACGGAAAGACCCCGUGGAGCUUUACUGUAGCCUGAUAUUGAAUUUUGGUACAGUUUGUACAGGAUAGGCGGGAGCCUUUGAAACCGGAGCGCUAGCUUCGGUGGAGGCGCUGGUGGGAUACCGCCCUGACUGUAUUGAAAUUCUAACCUACGGGUCUUAUCGACCCGGGAGACAGUGUCAGGUGGGCAGUUUGACUGGGGCGGUCGCCUCCUAAAGUGUAACGGAGGCGCCCAAAGGUUCCCUCAGAAUGGUUGGAAAUCAUUCGUAGAGUGCAAAGGCAUAAGGGAGCUUGACUGCGAGACCUACAAGUCGAGCAGGGACGAAAGUCGGGCUUAGUGAUCCGGUGGUUCCGCAUGGAAGGGCCAUCGCUCAACGGAUAAAAGCUACCCCGGGGAUAACAGGCUUAUCUCCCCCAAGAGUCCACAUCGACGGGGAGGUUUGGCACCUCGAUGUCGGCUCAUCGCAUCCUGGGGCUGUAGUCGGUCCCAAGGGUUGGGCUGUUCGCCCAUUAAAGCGGUACGCGAGCUGGGUUCAGAACGUCGUGAGACAGUUCGGUCCCUAUCCGUCGUGGGCGUAGGAAAUUUGAGAGGAGCUGUCCUUAGUACGAGAGGACCGGGAUGGACGCACCGCUGGUGUACCAGUUGUUCUGCCAAGGGCAUAGCUGGGUAGCUAUGUGCGGAAGGGAUAAGUGCUGAAAGCAUCUAAGCAUGAAGCCCCCCUCAAGAUGAGAUUUCCCAUAGCGUAAGCUAGUAAGAUCCCUGAAAGAUGAUCAGGUUGAUAGGUUCGAGGUGGAAGCAUGGUGACAUGUGGAGCUGACGAAUACUAAUAGAUCGAGGACUUAACCA